GACAGAGGCCCCAAGCGUUAGGCGGAAUCACUGGGCUUAAAGCGUGUGUAGGCGGAUCGUUAAGUGUCUUGUGAAAUCCCACGGCUCACCCGUGGAACUGCUGGGCAUACUGGCGAUCUUGGGCCAACUAGGGGCAGCCGGAACAAGCGGUGGAGCGGUGAAAUGCGUAGAUAUCGCUUGGAACGCCAAAGGUGAAAAACAGGCUGCUGGGGUUGUGGCCGACACUGAGACACGAAAGCCAGGGGAGCAAACGGG
rnacentral:rRNA from 1 species